AAGUCGUAACAAGGUUUCCGUAGGUGAACCUGCGGAAGGAUCAUUAGAGAAGAUGGAGCUUCGGCUCCUCCCCUCUUCAAACACUUGUUUACUUACCAGUUGCUUCCCCGACAUGUGGAGGCCUCCCUAUGCAGCAAUGCUUGGGUUGCUUUCGUCGGGGGACUUUUACAAACUAUGCUAUGUAUUAUAGUCUGAAUGAAAUCUUAAUUGAAACUAAAACUUUCAACAACGGAUCUCUAGGCUCUU
rnacentral:misc_RNA from 2 species